AUUGAACGCUGGCGGCAUGCCUAACACAUGCAAGUCGAACGGCAGCACAGUGUGUAGCAAUACACAUGGGUGGCGAGUGGCGGACGGGUGCGUAAUACGUAGGAAUCUUCCCUAAAGUGGGGGAUAACCCGGGGAAACUCGGGCUAAUACCGCAUAAUCUCUAUGGAGCAACGGAGGGGAUCGAAAGACCGUUCGCUUUAGGAUGAGCCUACGUCGGAUUAGCUAGUUGGUGAGGUAAAGGCCCACCAAGGUGAUGAUCCGUAGCUGGUCUGAGAGGACGGCCAGCCACACUGGGACUGAGACACGGCCCAGACUCCUACGGGAGGCAGCAGUGGGGAAUUUUGGACAAUGGGGGCAACCCUGAUCCAGCGAUGCCGCGUGUGUGAAGAAGGCCUUAUGGUUGUAAAGCACUUUAAGCGAGGAGGAGGCUCUUUUGGUUAAUACCCAAGAUGAGUGGACGUUACUCGCAGAAUAAGCACCGGCUAACUCUGUGCCAGCCGCCGCAGUAA
rnacentral:rRNA from 1 species